rnacentral:lncRNA from 1 species
AAGAGUAGCGUUACUAUGGCAACCCUGACAGAGAAAUUAAUGUUAUGACUGGAUGAAGACAAUUGUGAAGAAACUGCACUUUGAGGUUGUCUAUCUCUGUAUUCUGAUGGAAAAGCGUGGAGUUUAGAAGCACUGCUCACUCCUUCAGUUUCUAACAAGUUUGAGACUAUGGUUAGGUGGUGAGGAAGGCAGGCUCAGCACCCAAGCCUUGGGGAGACGCAGAAAGGGCCCAUCCCAGGCACUCAGGUGGAGGUAAGCAUAGCCUUUGGGCCAUAAGACCUCAUGGCCACUGGGGUGCUGGUCUGGAAACAAGUCCUCAUCUUCCCAGAAAUGUCAUCUUUUGUCUGCAGCAGCUGGCUGGAGAAAGAUUUCAGAAAGGUGUGUGCCUGGGGCACCCAAAGGCAUGACCUUCCUUUCUCCUUGGCAUAGGCCUUACAACACUGAGGAAAGGCCAUGGUUUGGCAUUGGAGCCUUCAAUAGUUUUCACCCCUAUGGAUCGAAAAGAUUGUCCAAAUAGAAGCUUAUAUAGGAUGUUAAAAAGUAAACUGACAGGACUAUGAAAAUUGUCUCCCAACAGAGUACAGCUUUUUUUUUUUUUUUUUUUUUUUUUUUUUUCUGAGAAAAAACUCCAGGAUGGAGUACAGUGGUGUGAUCUUGGCUCACUGUAACCUCCACCUCCGGGGUUCAAGUGAUUCUUCUAUCUCAGCCACUCGAGUAGUUGGGACUACAAGUGCGUGCCACCAUGCUUGGCUAAUUUUUUGUAUUUUUAGUAGAGACAGCGUUUCACCAUGUUGUCCAGGAUGGUCUCAAUCUCCUGACCUUGUGAUCCGCCCGCGCCUGCCUCCCAAAGUGCUGGGAUUACAGGCGUGAGCCACUGUGCCCGGCCCAUUUUGUUAAAAAUACAGAAAUAUUGGUAAAACCAUUAUCAAAAGCAUUGUGGAGCUUUCUAAAAACUUACAAUACCACAUUAUCCAGCAAAUCCACUUCCAGAUAUAUAACCAAAGGAAAUAAAACUAGUAUCUAGAAGAGACAUCUGUGCUCCCAUAUUUAUUGCAGAAUUAUUUACAAUGACAGAUGUGCAAACAACCUAAGUAUUAAUAAAUGAAUGGAUAAAAUAAUUGUGGAGUAUUUAUAUAAUGGAAUAUUAUUCAGCCAUAAAAAGAAAAUCCUGUUAUUUACAACUAUAUGAAUGAACCUGGAGAAGAGUAGGCUGAGUGAAAUAAGCCAGACAGAGAAUGAGAAAUAUUGUUUGAUUUCAGUUAUAUAUGAAGCCUAGAAAGUUAAAGUCAUAGAAACAGAGAGUACAAAGUGGUUUCCAGGAGCUGGUGGGUGGGAGAAAUGGGGGGUUGUUAAUAAAAAGUGCAAACUUUCAGGUAUAAAAUAAACAAGUUCUAGUGGUCUACUGCACAGCAUGGAUGUUACUGAAUGUUAUCUUAGUCUGUUCCAACUGCUGUAAUAAAAUACCUUAGAAUAGAUAAUUUAUAAGCAGUAUAAACUGAGUUCUCACAGUUAUGGAGGCUGAGAAGUCCAAGCUCAAGGCACCAGCAGUCUAGGUGUCUGGUGAGGGUCCAGUCUCUGGUUUCAAGAUGGCACCUUAAAUUGCUGUGUCCUCACACAGCAGAAGGACAAAAUAGGCCAAACUCAUUUUCUCAAGCCGUUUUACAAUGACAGCUAAUUGCAUUGUUAAGGGCAGAUUUUUCAUGCCCUAGCAACCAACUAAAGUCUAAUACUAUUGUAUUGAGGAUUAAGUUUUAAAGUAAAUUUGGGAGGGACACAAAUAUUUGAACAAUAGGAAUUAUGUUAAUUUAACUGAUUGUGAAAGUGAUUAGACAAUGUGUGCAUGUAUCAAGUCAUCGCAUUGCACACCUUGAAAAUACUCAAGCCUCACUUGUCAGUUAACAUUUUUAAAUUAAUAAAAUAAAAUGUGGAAGUAAUUUAUCCUUUGAGCAAUAAAAAAGUCUACUGAAGAUUUUUUUAACACCAGCACUACUUUGGCUGUUUGGUGUUGUGAGAUUGCUAAAAACUGAAAAAUGCAGAAAGAAAUGGAAAGAAUCACACACAGUCUUCACAAAAAAGUCAGCUCUGAGUGUGAGGUGGUGUUAAUCUGGGCGAGGCAAUGACAAGUGAUGGCAAAUAAAAAUAACCCUAAGACAAGAUUUUCAGAAUAAAUUAAAUUUUCUUAACUUACUGGAAAAAAUUACAUUACUAGCCAUGUAACAAACCUAUUUUGUACAGGUGGUGAAACCAAAUUUUAAGUAUAAAUUAUGAUGUAUUAAAAAACAAAAAGAAUAUUUUUGUGGUCUUAGAAAAAAAUUAUUAAAUGAACCAAGUAAGCAGAAUAUACAACAUUUUCAAAUACUAAAGAAAAAAAUCAUUGAAAAUUGCAAAAUUUUAGGCUCCAAAAGACUCACUAAUUUAAUAGAAGCAGAAAUCCUACAGCUAGAAAAUUUGCAGAUAGAAAAUAUAUUUUUCAGCUUGGAAAUCAAAAUGGAAACUACAAAUUCAAGCGUAACCAACAAAUAAUAUAUACCUACAUAUCGUGUAACUUUUUGUUGAAAAAAGACAUUUCGAAUAUUAUAGUAAUUUUGAAAUCAGAUUAUCAUCCUUCUUCUGUGUUUUUGUUGCUACCUAUUGCGACGUGUGCUCUGUCAUGCAUGUACAUUGACAUCUCUGUUCCAUUAGCUUGGUAGUAAGCUACUGAUUUGCAGAGAUUUUCUUAAAUGUUUGUUAUUUCCCCACUUCCUCCAAAUAAAUUUUAUAAUGUUCUCUUUUGGGUGUGUGUGUGUGUGUGUGUGUGUGUGUGUGUGUGUGUGUGCGUGCUGGAGCAUGCCUUUACUAAUCAGCCAGAAAUUUACAACUUGGUUCUUGCCUUACUUUCUGCUGAUACAGAGUUUGAAGGUCAAACAAGGGUGAAUACUGAGGGUCUUCCUGGGAUUUCUUCUUUUCUUUUCUUUUCUUUUCUUUUUUUUUGAGAUGGAGUUUCACUCUUGCUGCCCAGGCUGGAGUGCAAUGGCGCGACCUCAACUCGCCACAAACUCUGCCUCCCGGGUUCAAGCAAUUCUCCUGCCUCAGCCUCCCAAGUAGCUGGGGUUACAGGCAUGCACCACCACACCCCACUAAUUUUGUAUUUUUAGUAGAGAUGAGAUUUCUCCAUGUUGGUCAGGCUGGUCUCAAACUCUAGAUCUCAGGUGACCCACCUGCCUUGGCCUCCCAAAGUGCUGGGAUUACAGGUGUGAGCCACCAUGCCCGGCCCUCUUCCUGGGUUUUUCUAGACUGCAUACCUGGCCCUGAGCCUCCAUAUGACCUCCUAAAUUUCCUAGACUAUUAUCACAGCCCAAUCCCCAAAGUGUCCCAUUCCCCAGUCUUUCCUUUUAGGGCUUUUUUUUUUAGCAUGAUUAUUUUUUCCUCUAUUAGUAUAUUUUGUCCCAGGAAAGCCAGGUAGUAUAUUCAUUUAAAAGUUUGGGAGAACUUAUUAUUAUUGACUUGAGUUUUUUUUUUGUUAUUGAGAUUUUUUUGUUAUUGACUUGAGAUUUGUCUUUCUUUUUUAAUGAAGAAAUUCACUGGUAUAGGUUUCCCUCAAAACACUGCUUUCACCAGUUUCCGUAAGUUUUACGUUUUGGUUACAUUGUCAUUUAUGUUAAAACACUUUCUGAUAAGUAUUUGUGGUUUUCUUUUGAUCCAUAAAUUAUUUGGGAUUUUGCCAUUUAAUGUCCACAUACUUAAGAGUCUCCUAAAUUUCUUGCUUUCAUUGAUCUCUGAUUCUAUUAUGAUUAGAAAUCACCCAUUGUAUUAUCUCAAUCUCUAUUUUUACUGAUGUUUUAUGGCCCAGCAGGUGGUCUGUCCUAGAGAACGUUCCAUGUGGAUUUGAGAAGAAUAUAUAUUCUCAUGUUGGAUGCAGUGCUGUGCAUAUGUUUGUUAGGUUUAGUUGUUUUAUGUUGUUGUUCAUGUUUUCUAUUUUUUAUCUUCUGUCUACUUGUUCUAUCCAUUAAUAUAAGUGAAGCAUUAAAGUCUCCAACUAUUACUGUUGAAUUAUCUAUUUCUCCCUUUAUUUCUGUCAUUUUUGCUUCAUGUAUUUCUGUGCUUAUUUGAUAACUGCAUAUAUGUGAAUAAUUUUUUUAUAUUUUCCUGAUGAGUUUACCCUUUGCCAAUACAAAAUGUCUUUAUCAGUAUAUAUUUUUUUGUUUUGUUUCAUUUUGUUUUUUGAGACAAGAGUCUUGCUCUGUCACCCAGGCUGGAGUGCAGUGGCACAAUCUUGGCUCACUGCAACCUCCGCCUCCUGGUUCAAGUGAUUCUCCUGUCUCAGCCUCUUGAGUAGCUGGAAUUACAGAUACCUGCCACCAUGCCUGGCUAAUUUUUGUAUUUUUAGUAGAGACAGGGUUUCACCAUGUUGGCCAGGCUGGUCUUGAACUCCUGACCUCAAGUGAUCCACCUGCCUUGGCAUCCCAAAGUGCUGGGAUCACAGGCAUGAG